GUCCCAGUAGCGAAUGGAUAGCGCGCGCGCGCGCGUUGGACUUCUAAUCCAAAGGUCGUGGAUUCGAAUCCCACCUGGGAUG